AGGACGAACGCUGGCGGCGGGCUUAACACAUGCAAGUCGAACGAAGCCUUCGGGCUUAGUGGCGCACGGGUGAGUAACACGUAGGCAACCUACCCUCAGCUGGGGAAUAACCAGGGGAAACCCUGGCUAAUACCGCAUAACGUCGUCGCGACCACCUGGUCGUACGACCAAAGUUCUGGCGGCUGAGGAUGGGCCUGCGUCGGAUUAGCUAGUUGGCGGGGUAACGGCCCACCAAGGCGACGAUCCGUAGCGGGUCUGAGAGGAUGAUCCGCCACGCUGGCACUGAGACACGGGCCAGGCUCCUACGGGAGGCAGCAGUGAGGAAUAUCGCGCAAUGGGCGAAAGCCUGACGCAGCCACGCCGCGUGCAGGAAGACACCCCUCUGGGGCGUAAACUGCUUUUGUGUGAGAAGAAGGCCCUCGUCGGAGGAUUGACGGUAUCGCGACGAAUAAGGACCGGCUAACUCCGUAGCCAAGACGACGACCGGACGGUACUCG
rnacentral:rRNA from 1 species